rnacentral:ncRNA from 1 species
ACUCGGGCACGAUCCCCGGCCACUAUACGUGCCGGAGAACCGACCCGUAGUCUCAAACCUGAGGGA